GCGGCUAUAGUGUAGCGGUAACACUGUUCCCUGUGGAGGAGCCAUCGCCGGUUCGAAUCCGACUAGCCGCC
rnacentral:tRNA from 1 species